rnacentral:rRNA from 1 species
GACGAACGCUGGCGGCGCGCUUAACACAUGCAAGUCGAGCGAAGCGGCGGACGGGUGAGUAACACGUGAGUAACCUGCCUUAGACAUUGGGAUAGCCUCGGGUAACCGGGAUUAAUACAAAAUGGUCUAAGAUGGACUCGCAUCCCAUUAGAUAGUUGGUGAGGUAACGGCCCACCAAGGCGCCGAUGGGUAGCCGGCCAGGGAGGGUGAACGGCGACAUUGGAGCUGAGAAACGGUCCAAACUCUACGGGAGGCAGGAGUGGGGAAUAUGGCACAAUGGAGGGAACUCUGAUGGAGCGACGCCGGGUGAACGAAGAAGGCUGUCGAGACGUAGAGUUGUUUUAUAUGGGAAGCGGUACCAUAAGAAAAAGCCCCGGCUAACUACGUGCCAGCAGCCGCGGUAAUUC